AGCUCAAUGGUAGAGUUCUGGCCUUCCAAGCCAGCUGUGAGGGUUCGAUCCCCUUCACCCGCUCCA
rnacentral:tRNA from 1 species